ACGUAGGAAUCUACCCUAUAGCGGGGGACAACCGGCGGAGACGCCGGCUAAUACCGCAUACUCUCGCAAGAGAAAAGCUGGGGCAACCUGGCACUAUAGGAGGAGCCUGCGUCUGAUUAGCUAGUUGGCGGGGUAAAAGCCCACCAAGGCGACGAUCAGUAGCUGGUCUGAGAGGAUGAUCAGCCACACUGGGACUGAGACACGGCCCAGACUCCUACGGGAGGCAGCAGUGGGGAAUCUUGCGCAAUGGUCGAAAGACUGACGCAGCGACGCCGCGUGUGGGAGGACGCCUUUCGGGGU
rnacentral:rRNA from 1 species